rnacentral:rRNA from 13 species
GGAAUGUAGAGUUUGAUACCUGGGUCAGGAUAAACGCUGGUAGCGCACAUAAGACAUGCAAGUCGAACGAACUUAACCAUUAGUUUACUAUUGGAGCGGUUAGUGGCGGACUGGUGAGUAACACGUAAGCAACCUGCCUAUCAGAGGGGAACAACAGUUAGAAAUGACUGCUAAUACCGCAUAUGCCUUAAUCUUCACAUGGAGAUAGAGGGAAAGGAGCAAUCCGCUGAUAGAUGGGCUUGCGUCUGAUUAGCUAGUAGGUGGGGUAAAGGCUUACCUAGGCAACGAUCAGUAGCCGGACUGAGAGGUUGGACGGCCACAUUGGGACUGAGAUACGGCCCAGACUCCUACGGGAGGCAGCAGUCGGGAAUAUUGCGCAAUGGAGGAAACUCUGACGCAGUGACGCCGCGUGCAGGAAGAAGGUUUUCGGAUUGUAAACUGCUUUAGACAGGGAAGAAAAAGGACAGUACCUGUAGAAUAAGCUCCGGCUAACUACGUGCCAGCAGCCGCGGUAAUACGUAGGGAGCAAGCGUUAUCCGGAUUUAUUGGGUGUAAAGGGUGCGUAGACGGGAAGUCAAGUUGGUUGUGAAAUCCCUCGGCUCAACUGAGGAACUGCAACCAAAACUAACUUUCUUGAGUGCUGGAGAGGAAAGUGGAAUUCCUAGUGUAGCGGUGAAAUGCGUAGAUAUUAGGAGGAACACCAGUGGCGAAGGCGACUUUCUGGACAGUAACUGACGUUGAGGCACGAAAGUGUGGGGAGCAAACAGGAUUAGAUACCCUGGUAGUCCACACCGUAAACGAUGGAUACUAGGUGUAGGGGAUGAAUAAUCCUCUGUGCCGUCGCAAACGCAGUAAGUAUCCCACCUGGGGAGUACGGCCGCAAGGUUGAAACUCAAAGGAAUUGACGGGGGCCCGCACAAGCAGUGGAGUAUGUGGUUUAAUUCGACGCAACGCGAAGAACCUUACCAAGGCUUGACAUACAGGGGAAUACUUAAGAGAUUAAGUCGCUCUUCGGAGCCGCUGUACAGGUGGUGCAUGGUUGUCGUCAGCUCGUGUCGUGAGAUGUUGGGUUAAGUCCCGCAACGAGCGCAACCCCUGUGAUUAGUUGCCAGCACGUAAAGGUGGGAACUCUAAUCAGACUGCCGGUGAUAAAUCGGAGGAAGGUGGGGACGACGUCAAAUCAUCAUGCCCUAUAUGUCUUGGGCUACACACGUACUACAAUGGCUGUAACAGAGGGAAGCGAAACAGUGAUGUGGAGCGAAACCCAAAAAAGCAGUCUCAGUUCGGAUUGAAGGCUGAAAUUCGCCUUCAUGAAGCCGGAAUUGCUAGUAAUGGCAGGUCAGCAUACUGCCGUGAAUACGUUCCCGGGCCUUGUACACACCGCCCGUCACACCAUGAGAGCCGGGGGGACCCGAAGUCGGCAGUCUAACCGCAAGGAGGACGCCGCCGAAGGUAAAACUGGGGAUUGGGGGGAAGUCGUAACAAGGUACCAUGUGUCCUCAGCGGUACGCCUCGCCUCCCCC